ACAGUUGCGCAUAGAAGAUACUUUAAUUUACCAAAAAAAUAAUAAUUAUGGUACAUCUCAUUAAGCUAAAAUAAUGUCACAAUAGUAAGAACAAGAGUGCAACAUCAUUUAACAUUUAUGAACUACCUAAAUGAGUAAAGCCUAUUACAAUGUGAAGAAAAAUAUACAAUAAUCAUGUCAAUAACAAUGAGAGGAAGAGUCCAGUAUACAGCAUAGUGUUUGUCCAUCAUGCUACUCAAAAUUCAGCUAGCAUCCUAUGUUACUAUUUCAAAAAAAAAAAAAAAAAAAAAAA
rnacentral:lncRNA from 1 species